UUUUUCUUUGUGUAAAAUGAAGUUCCCUUCCAUUUGCCAAUAAAUGAAGUCGAUGUUGUGAUGUUCGCACUUAUGAGCUCUGCUUCGGAGAGCAUAUCCUGUACUCCCAAGCAUGGAGUACUCCUGCUGCACCAACCACAUCAUAGUCAUUGGAUGGAAUAUGUGUGUCAAUUAUAGAGUGCGGACGCCACCAUCCCGUGAAAUUUGCAAAAACCUCCUAUUUAAGUACAAAAUAACAAUAACAAUCACAUAUUGUAGCUCCAAAUUGAUAUAUCUUGAGUUGUCCCAUUGUCAUACUUAAUUCAGGAUUCAACUCAGGAGAGUGUACAGAACAUGCAGGUUUGUAUUGUUUCCAGUGUAUGUUGGUCAUGCAUCGGAUGUCACUUGGUUUCUAGGAAUUUCAAGAUGGCAUCAAAGAAACCAACAAACAAGGAGAGAAAACUUAAACAAGAGAGAUGUAUGAGGAUGCCGGUGUCUCAUCAAACAUGUAUUGUGUGAGGACACCCUUCGUCCGACCUAAUCUUGACGAUCAUCCGCAGGUACACACAUACAUGUUCUUCCCUGCCGCCUCUUGGUUUAGUUCACAUGUCUUGAAUUACUUUGAUCCUUUUGGUAACUUGGUUUGACCUUUGUGAGGAAUCUACAGCAGCACUUCAAAAAUCCCAGGUUGUUUUCAUCAGCAAGUUUACAGCUGACCACAUGGUGGAACUGAUAAUACAACACUGUACGAUGCACCUGAGAUUCCAAUGGAUACCUGUCGAAGCGAUGUGGUCAUCAGCAUGUAUGCUCUCAAUCUCCUGGUCUAUAAUAUGCGUGCUCUGCCGGUUCCCUGCAAGCGCUUUCGGCCAUGACCUCAAGUUCUGCAGCUAGGCCGUGAAUGUGUUGGUCCUUCUCACCGUCCACCGAUGAUGGUGCCCAAGAUAAGUGACCUCAAGUUCUGCAGUCGCGUGGUCGUCGGAACGACUUGCCGUGGACGUGGCCAUGCACUGGAUGCCAUCGACGACUAGCGUCCGCAAAAUAUGGAUGCACGGGAUUCUGCUACAAACAUUGGGGAGUGUGUACUGUUGCGGUGCUGUGACAUAUACACUCUGUGGAAGAAACCCCUAUUUGAUUUACAGGUGAUGCUGAUUCGUCUGGAAUCUACUUUUGACAGAUCAAUCUGGUUUGUUGGCUGCUGGGUGGCUUCAUGUGACGCCGCAGUGCACUAGGGAGAGGUAGAGGUCCCCAGAACUACAUGUAUGUACCGUAAUGUUUCAUCUGUCGAUUUUGACGUUCAAUAUUGACUCCUUGAUCCCGUUUCUUAGGGUUCAUGAUUGGCAAUUGGUCGUGGGCAA